rnacentral:misc_RNA from 1 species
GAUGAAGAACGUAGCGAAAUGCGAUAAGUAGUGUGAAUUGCAGAAUUCAGUGAAUCAUCGAAUCUUUGAACGCACAUUGCGCCCCUUGGUAUUCCAUGGGGCAUGCCUGUUCGAGCGUCAUUUGUACCUUCAAGCUCUGCUUGGUGUUGGGUGUUUGUCUCGCCUCUGCGUGUAGACUCGCCUCAAAACAAUUGGCAGCCGGCGUAUUGAUUUCGGAGCGCAGUACAUCUCGCGCUUUGCACUCAUAACGACGACGUCCAAAAGUACAUUUUUACACUCUUACCUCGGAUCAGGUAGGGAUACCCGCUGAACUUAAGCAUAUCAAUAGCGGAGGA